ACUAAGCGUACACGGUGGAUGCCCUGGCAGUCAGAGGCGAUGAAGGACGUGCUAAUCUGCGAUAAGCGUCGGUGAGGUGAUAUGAACCGUUAUAACCGGCGAUUUCCGAAUGGGGAAACCCAGUGUGUUUCGACACACUAUCAUUAACUGAAUCCAUAGGUUAAUGAGGCGAACCGGGGGAACUGAAACAUCUAAGUACCCCGAGGAAAAGAAAUCAACCGAGAUUCCCCCAGUAGCGGCGAGCGAACGGGGAGGAGCCCAGAGCCUGAAUCAGUGUGUGUGUUAGUGGAAGCGUCUGGAAAGGCGUGCGAUACAGGGUGACAGCCCCGUACACAAAAAUGCACAUAUUGUGAGCUCGAUGAGUAGGGCGGGACACGUGGUAUCCUGUCUGAAUAUGGGGGGACCAUCCUCCAAGGCUAAAUACUCCUGACUGACCGAUAGUGAACCAGUACCGUGAGGGAAAGGCGAAAAGAACCCCGGCGAGGGGAGUGAAAAAGAACCUGAAACCGUGUACGUACAAGCAGUGGGAGCCUCUUAAUGGGGUGACUGCGUACCUUUUGUAUAAUGGGUCAGCGACUUAUAUUCUGUAGCAAGGUUAACCGAAUAGGGGAGCCGAAGGGAAACCGAGUCUUAACUGGGCGUUAAGUUGCAGGGUAUAGACCCGAAACCCGGUGAUCUAGCCAUGGGCAGGUUGAAGGUUGGGUAACACUAACUGGAGGACCGAACCGACUAAUGUUGAAAAAUUAGCGGAUGACUUGUGGCUGGGGGUGAAAGGCCAAUCAAACCGGGAGAUAGCUGGUUCUCCCCGAAAGCUAUUUAGGUAGCGCCUCGUGAAUUCAUCUCCGGGGGUAGAGCACUGUUUCGGCAAGGGGGUCAUCCCGACUUACCAACCCGAUGCAAACUGCGAAUACCGGAGAAUGUUAUCACGGGAGACACACGGCGGGUGCUAACGUCCGUCGUGAAGAGGGAAACAACCCAGACCGCCAGCUAAGGUCCCAAAGUCAUGGUUAAGUGGGAAACGAUGUGGGAAGGCCCAGACAGCCAGGAUGUUGGCUUAGAAGCAGCCAUCAUUUAAAGAAAGCGUAAUAGCUCACUGGUCGAGUCGGCCUGCGCGGAAGAUGUAACGGGGCUAAACCAUGCACCGAAGCUGCGGCAGCGACACUAUGUGUUGUUGGGUAGGGGAGCGUUCUGUAAGCCUGUGAAGGUGGCCUGUGAGGGUUGCUGGAGGUAUCAGAAGUGCGAAUGCUGACAUAAGUAACGAUAAAGCGGGUGAAAAGCCCGCUCGCCGGAAGACCAAGGGUUCCUGUCCAACGUUAAUCGGGGCAGGGUGAGUCGACCCCUAAGGCGAGGCCGAAAGGCGUAGUCGAUGGGAAACAGGUUAAUAUUCCUGUACUUGGUGUUACUGCGAAGGGGGGACGGAGAAGGCUAUGUUGGCCGGGCGACGGUUGUCCCGGUUUAAGCGUGUAGGCUGGUUUUCCAGGCAAAUCCGGAAAACCAAGGCUGAGGCGUGAUGACGAGGCACUACGGUGCUGAAGYGACAAAUGCCCUGCUUCCAGGAAAAGCCUCUAAGCAUCAGGUAACAUCAAAUCGUACCCMAAACCGACACAGGUGGUCAGGUAGAGAAUACCAAGGCGCUUGAGAGAACUCGGGUGAAGGAACUAGGCAAAAUGGUGCCGUAACUUCGGGAGAAGGCACGCUGAUAUGUAGGUGAAGCGACUUGCUCGUGGAGCUGAAAUCAGUCGAAGAUACCAGCUGGCUGCAACUGUUUAUUAAAAACACAGCACUGUGCAAACACGAAAGUGGACGUAUACGGUGUGACGCCUGCCCGGUGCCGGAAGGUUAAUUGAUGGGGUUAGCGGUAACGCGAAGCUCUUGAUCGAAGCCCCGGUAAACGGCGGCCGUAACUAUAACGGUCCUAAGGUAGCGAAAUUCCUUGUCGGGUAAGUUCCGACCUGCACGAAUGGCGUAAUGAUGGCCAGGCUGUCUCCACCCGAGACUCAGUGAAAUUGAACUCGCUGUGAAGAUGCAGUGUACCCGCGGCAAGACGGAAAGACCCCGUGAACCUUUACUAUAGCUUGACACUGAACAUUGAGCCUUGAUGUGUAGGAUAGGUGGGAGGCUUUGAAGUGUGGACGCCAGUCUGCAUGGAGCCGACCUUGAAAUACCACCCUUUAAUGUUUGAUGUUCUAACGUUGGCCCGUAAUCCGGGUUGCGGACAGUGUCUGGUGGGUAGUUUGACUGGGGCGGUCUCCUCCUAAAGAGUAACGGAGGAGCACGAAGGUUGGCUAAUCCUGGUCGGACAUCAGGAGGUUAGUGCAAUGGCAUAAGCCAGCUUGACUGCGAGCGUGACGGCGCGAGCAGGUGCGAAAGCAGGUCAUAGUGAUCCGGUGGUUCUGAAUGGAAGGGCCAUCGCUCAACGGAUAAAAGGUACUCCGGGGAUAACAGGCUGAUACCGCCCAAGAGUUCAUAUCGACGGCGGUGUUUGGCACCUCGAUGUCGGCUCAUCACAUCCUGGGGCUGAAGUAGGUCCCAAGGGUAUGGCUGUUCGCCAUUUAAAGUGGUACGCGAGCUGGGUUUAGAACGUCGUGAGACAGUUCGGUCCCUAUCUGCCGUGGGCGCUGGAGAACUGAGGGGGGCUGCUCCUAGUACGAGAGGACCGGAGUGGACGCAUCACUGGUGUUCGGGUUGUCAUGCCAAUGGCACUGCCCGGUAGCUAAAUGCGGAAGAGAUAAGUGCUGAAAGCAUCUAAGCACGAAACUUGCCCCGAGAUGAGUUCUCCCUGACUCCUUGAGGGUCCUGAAGGAACGUUGAAGACGACGACGUUGAUAGGCCGGGUGUGUAAGCGCAGCGAUGCGUUGAGCUAACCGGUACUAAUGAACCGUGAGGCUUAACC
rnacentral:rRNA from 1 species